CGGAGGGUGCAAGCGUUGUCCGGAUUUAUUGGGUUUAAAGGGUGCGUAGGCGGCCGAUUAAGUCAGCGGUGAAAGCCCGGGGCUCAACCCCGGAACCGCCGUUGAUACUGGUCGGCUUGAGUACAGACGAGGUAGGCGGAAUUGAGGGUGUAGCGGUGAAAUGCUUAGAUACCCUCAAGAACACCGAUUGCGUAGGCAGCUUACUAGGCUGUAACUGACGCUGAGGCACGAAAGCGUGGGGAGCGAACAGGAUU
rnacentral:rRNA from 1 species